UGAAAAACAAAGAUAGGGAUAAGUAUGCAGAGCUUUUAUCUCACAGAGAGCGGAGAAAGGUGGAAUUCCGUAGAUAAUUGCUGCAGAAACUCACCCUAGAGUUGCAGGCUGAACUUAUAGUAAGCUGUGCCGGUUUACGCCGUUAUUAAAGUAAGUAAAAAUUUGGGUGGUACCGCGGCAGACUCUCGCCCCAAGC
rnacentral:ncRNA from 1 species